CGCCGAUCUCCCGGCUCGACCAUCCGCCUGCCGCCCGGACGCCUGGGCCGCGGAGUUUGUGUCCCGGCUCGGACCCCGGCGCCCAGCCCGGAGCCGUAACCUUGAGGCGGCGGCGGCGGGGCCGGGCCGGGCCGGGCUGGGGGGCGGUGGCGCUGGAUCCGCGGCUGCCCGAUCGUUGGCGGGAGAUGUCGAACCCCGGGACACGCAGGAACGGCUCCAGCAUCAAGAUCCGUCUGACAGAAUUUGACAAGCUGAUUAAAAUUUAUCUGGAAAUGCAAGAGAUCUAGAAUAGCUCAAACAGUCCUGAAAAAACAACAACAAAGUUGGAGACUAGCACUUCUCAAUUUCAAAACUUACUACAAAGCUAAAGUAAUUACGACAGAAUGGUACUGACAGUAGCGUAGAUAUAGAGGUCAAUAGAAUAGACUUCGGAAUCCAGAAAUAAGUCCUCAUAUUUAUGGUCAGUUGAUUUUCAACAGUGAUGACAAGAUAAUUUGACAGGGGAAAUAAUAGUCUUUUCAACAAAUGGUCCUGGAACAAGUGGAUAUACACAUGUAAAAGAAUGAAAUUGAGCUCCUACCUCAAGAACUCCUAGGAGAAAACAGGAAUAAAUCUUCAAUACUUUGGUCUAGACAUGGAAUCUUAGAUAUGACAAACAAAGCACAGGCAACAAAAGGAAAACAGAUUAAUUGGAUUUCAUCAAAAUUCAAAGCUUCUGUGCUUCAAAGGACUCUUGAAGAAAAAGAAAACUCACAGCAUGGGAGAAAAUGUUUGCAAAUUAUGUUUGAAAAGGGUCUUGUCUCUAAAAUAUAUAAAGAACCCUUACAACUCCACAAUGAAAAACAAAUAACUCAGUUUAAUACAUGGGUAAAGGAUCUGAACAGACAUUUCUCCAAAGAAGGCUACCAACAUGGCCAAUAAGCCCAUGAAAAGAUGCUCAGCAUCAAAGUCUCAGAGACAUGCCAAUCAAAACCGUGGUGAGAUACCCCGUAGACUCACUAGAUGGCUAAAAUUAAAA
rnacentral:lncRNA from 10 species